rnacentral:tRNA from 1 species
GCCCGGGUGGCGGAACUGGCAGACGCGCACGUUUGAGGGGCGUGUGGUUCACACCGUACCGGUUCAAGUCCGGUCCCGGGCACCA